ACGCACAGGAGCCCACACAGUGCCUGGCAGUAUGAAUCUCUCCACUGGGACUGAAAACAAAAGCCUCACAGAUGAUGCAUCCAAGGAGACAAGAUCAGGGGGAGCCCACCCAUCAGGCAGGAUGCCCCUCAGAGGGACAUCCGAGAGCAGCAGACCUGGAAUGCCAGCCCCAUGUCCAGCACCCGACCUGGGCCCCUGAAGGGUUUUUUCUUUCUGAAGAUAUCACAAGGGCCACAUGCCUCUUUGCUAUCGCAGCGCUCUCCGUUUUAGCAGCAUGAGGAAGAAUUAUGAUCCAGGCAAGAGCCCGUGCCUUGUGUGUGGUUGUAUGUCUUGUCGGCCUCCCCAUCCUCCCAGGUUGAGGUGAUAAUUCAUGCGGGGGUGACAGCCGGUUUAAGAGCGAUCACUGUGGAGCCACUGGAAAAUACACAGACUUCAUAAACUCCCAAUAUUGCCUCAUC
rnacentral:lncRNA from 1 species